rnacentral:rRNA from 1 species
UAGUCAUAUGCUUGUCUCAAAGAUUAAGCCAUGCAUGUCUAAGUAUAAAGAACUUUAUACUCUAAAACUGCGUACAGCUCAUUAAAUCAGUAAUUAUUUAUUUGAUGGUAACUUACUAAAUGGAUACCCGUAGUAAUUCUAGAGCUAAUACAUGCACAAAAUCCCGACUCGUAAGGGAAGGGACGUAUUUAUUAGAUAAAAAACCAAUGCAGGUUCGCCUGGUUGAUGGUGAUUCAUAAUAACUGAUCGAAUCGCAUGACCUUGUGUCGGCGAUAGUU